CAGUCGCCGCGGUAAUACGAAGGGUGCAAGCGUUACUCGGAAUUACUGGGCGUAAAGCGUGCGUAGGUGGUUGUUUAAGUCUGCUGUGAAAGCCCUGGGCUCAACCUGGGAAUUGCAGUGGAUACUGGGCGACUAGAGUAAGGUAGAGGAUAGUGGAAUUUCCGGUGUAGCAGUGAAAUGCGUAGAGAUCGGAAGGAACAUCUGUGGCGAAGGCGACUAUCUGGGCCAACACUGACACUGAGGCACGAAAGCGUGGGGAGCAAACAGGAUUAGAUACCCCAGUAGUCCCUGUCUCUUAUAC
rnacentral:rRNA from 1 species